GUUCGUGUCUCUUACUUACAGCAAAAACACAUACAUUUUUCUUUCGGACCAUCUAAACAACAUAUAAAAAUGUGCCGGAUUUUCGCCCUCAUCGUCUGGAAUUUUCAAUUUUAAGGCUACCCGUAACUUUUCUCCAACAUCUUUUCAUGCUUCAAGUUUGAAGUUUGGAAUUGCUGCACUGCAUUAUCAUCGCCGAUAGCCGAUAUGUGUUCCAUUUUAAAGGCACCAUAAUCUUGGAGGAUUUAUUAUAAAAUUAAGGUUUCCAUGAUAAAAAUCCGGGAUACAGGACAGGGAUCAAGAGGGCUGUGAAAUGAAGAAGACUUGCAUCUCAUCACAAAGUUUCUACACAUGAUUGUUAUGGACAAAGUGAC